UACGUAUGGUGCAAGCGUUAAUCGGAAUUACUGGGUGUAAAGGGAGCGUAGGCGGCCCUGCAAGUCAGGUGUGAAAGCCCGGGGCUUAACCCCGGGACUGCACUUGAAACUGCGGGGCUGGAGUGCAGGAGAGGCAGGCGGAAUUCCUAGUGUAGCGGUGAAAUGCGUAGAUAUUAGGAAGAACACCGGUGGCGAAGGCGGCCUGCUGGACUGAGACUGACGCUGAGGCCCGAAAGCGUGGGGAGCAAAC
rnacentral:rRNA from 1 species